GCCUACAUGAAGCUGGAGUUACUAGUAAUCGCAGAUCAGAAUGCUGCGGUGAAUGCGUUCCCGGGUCUUGUACACACCGCCCGUCACACCACGGAAGUUGGGGGUGCCCAAAGUCGGUUAGAAAAUAGACUGCCUAAGGCAAAACCAAUGACUGGGGUGAAGUCGUAACAAGGUAAC
rnacentral:rRNA from 1 species